GUGCUCGCUUCGGCAGCACAUAUGCUAAAAUUUCAACUAUACAGAGAUUAGCAUGGCCCCUGCACAAGGAUGACAUGCAAAUCUAUGAAACGUGCCAUAUUUUU
ensembl:snRNA U6 U6 spliceosomal RNA